rnacentral:lncRNA from 1 species
UGUAGAGUUUGGAAUUUGCCCAAUUAAUUUUUGAUCCUGUUUUGGUCAAGUAUAUCCUUACUCUGGCAUUUUGAAAUAGCUAUGUAUAUCCUGUGAUGUUGGAAAUACAUGAUCUACUUUUUUAUUUUGAUUUUUAUAGGGAAUUACAUUUAAGUGAUUAGAAAAAUCUCAGAAGAGACAUUGUGCUUUGGACUUUUAAGAUUGUUGAGACUGCUAUUGACAAUGGGGACUUUUGAAAUUAGACUAAAUGUGUUUUUCAUUAUGCUAUGACUAGGCAUGGCUCCAUGGAUUUGAACAAGACAAUAGGGGCCAGGGAGUGGAAUAUAGUUGUUUGAAUAGGAUUAGGUAGUAUUUGAAUGCUUGGGCCUCAGGGAUUGAGGCUAUAAAGGGGUAUGUUUUUUUGGUUUUUUUGUUUUUUUGGUUUUUUUUAAGGUAUGGCCUUGUUGGAAGAAGUGCAUUACUCUGCGAGUGGGCUUUGAGGUGCAAUCUUCAAGUUCCCACCAGUGUAAUAGAGUCAUUCUCCUCCUGUGUGCCUUUGGAUCAAGAUAUAGAACUCUCUGCAUAUUUCUCUUCUCCCAUACCCAUAAUCCAUAAUCCAAAAUAAUGAUAAUGAUAAUGGCCUCAAACUUUUACUUCUUUCCUCUUAUAAGUAUUAUAAAAAUACAUAAAUAUUAAUAACAACUUAUUAGGCUUACUUAAUAAAGCCUUGUUUUCAAUUAAUUCUUUUGGAGGAAGAUAGACAUCUCAUAGAAAUUUCUAUCAAAAUUUUAAGAAAUGUUAGUGGACAAUUAGUAAAAUUAUUGAACAAAGCAUUCAAGACAUUUAGUGCAUAGAAGAAUCCAGAGUAGAUUUACAACUUGUGUUUUUAGAAAAAAAAAAAAACUAUGUCAAAAAUAACAAAUUCUUCCUAAGUACUUUAGAAAAAUUGGUGUGUGUGUGUGUGUGUGUGUGUGUAUGUGUGUGUGUGUGUGUGUUUAUAUGAAGAAAUGUGUAAUGAACUUGAACCUAUUUGUCCUCAUAUCUCACUUACUGGAGCUAAGUUUUAUUUUGACUUCCACCGUAUUAUCAAGAAAAAGUUUGAUUACUUAUUAGAUUUAACAGAAAGGAAUUUGGAAUAGUCUUUCUCUCACCCAUACUAAGAAAAAUGUAAACUAUCAUAUGUUGUUUCAUCACAAUAAAAUGAAAAGAGUAUGCAUUAGGGUGAAACAGGCAGUAAUAAUCAGAGAAAGCAAAAAAAAUGACAUUGCCAGCCACUACCUGUUGCAGUAGUGGCUGCAAGGUUGUGGAGCUAAUGUGAGGUCUGUGAUUGAUUCUAACUUAUAUGUAAGAUUUUUAUUAAAACCAAAGGUAAUUUAGAGAAUUACUGAUAUCAUCAAAACCACAACACCAGGUUUGAAUUCCCAUAGGGAAAACAAACAUUUUAAUAAUACAUUAUGUCUCUAAAGCAGUAAAAUUUCAGUGAAACAUUGUGACAAACCAAGUGACUACAACCUUUAAAUUGCAAAGGAUCAGGCUUGCAUUGUAAACCAGACAACCCAGGAAUCC